rnacentral:rRNA from 1 species
AGUGAACGCUGGCGGUAGGCCUAACACAUGCAAGUCGAACGGCAGCACAGGAGAGCUUGCUCUCUGGGUGGCGAGUGGCGGAUGGGUGAGGAAUACAUCGGAAUCUACUCUGUCGUGGGGGAUAACGUAGGGAAACCUACGCUAAUACCGCAUACGACCUACGGGUGAAAGCAGGGGACCUUCGGGCCUUGCGCGAUUGAAUGAGCCGAUGUCGGAUUAGCUAGUUGGCGGGGUAAAGGCCCACCAAGGCGACGAUCCGUAGCUGGUCUGAGAGGAUGAUCAGCCACACUGGAACUGAGACACGGUCCAGACUCCUACGGGAGGCAGCAGUGGGGAAUAUUGGACAAUGGGCGCAAGCCUGAUCCAGCCAUACCGCGUGGGUGAAGAAGGCCUUCGGGUUGUAAAGCCCUUCUGUUGGGAAAGAAAUCCAGCUGGCUAAUACCCGGUUGGGAUGACGGUACCCAAAGAAUAAGCACCGGCUAACUUCGUGCCAGCCGCCGCAGUAA